rnacentral:rRNA from 1 species
UGGUGGAGUGGUUUGUCUGGUUAAUUCCGUUAACGAACGAGACCUUAACCUGCUAAAUAGUUACAGGAAUCUUGGAUUCCUGAAUAACUUCUUAGAGGGACUAUGGAUGUUUAAUCCAUGGAAGUUUGAGGCAAUAACA